GAGCGUAUAGUUCAGUGGUAGAGCAUUCAACUGCCGUUCGAGAGGUCCCGGUUCAAAUCCGGGUGUCCUCU